GUUGAACGCUGGCGGCAUGCCUUACGCAUGCAAGUCGAACGGUAACAGGUUAAGCUGACGAGUGGCGAACGGGUGAGUAAUGUAUCGGAGCGUGCCCAGUCGUGGGGGAUAACUGCUCGAAAGAGCAGCUAAUACCGCAUACGACCUGAGGGUGAAAGCGGGGGAUCGCAAGACCUCGCGCGAUUGGAGCGGCCGAUAUCAGAUUAGGUAGUUGGUGAGGUAAAGGCUCACCAAGCCGACGAUCUGUAGCUGGUCUGAGGGGACGACCAGCCACACUGGGACUGAGACACGGCCCAGACUCCUACGGGAGGCAGCAGUGGGGAAUUUUGGACAAUGGGCGCAAGCCUGAUCCAGCCAUGCCGCGUGCGGGAAGAAGGCCUUCGGGUUGUAAACCGCUUUUGUCAGGGAAGAAAAGGUUCUGGCUAAUACCUGGGACUCAUGACGGUACCUGAAGAAUAAGCACCGGCUAACUACGUGCCAGCCGCCGCCGUAACAC
rnacentral:rRNA from 1 species